rnacentral:rRNA from 1 species
UACAGAGGGUGCAAGCGUUAAUCGGAAUUACUGGGCGUAAAGCGCGCGUAGGUGGUUUGUUAAGUUGGAUGUGAAAUCCCCGGGCUCAACCUGGGAACUGCAUCCAAACUGGACAAGCUAGAGUAUGGUAGAGGGUGGUGGAAUUUCCUGUGUAGCGGUGAAAUGCGUAGAUAUAGGAAGGAACACCAGUGGCGAAGGCGACCACCUGGACUGAAUACUGACACUGAGGUGCGAAAGCGUGGGGAGCAAACAGGA